rnacentral:lncRNA from 1 species
CUGGGAAACAGAACGGGAGGGUGGUGGAGCAGCCAGUCCAUCCUCCUCCCGGAAGCACCACCGACGAAGGUGGAGAAACUGCAGAGGCCUCCUCUUGACUUUGGCCAGAUGGAAUCUGUGUUUCUGGAAGAGAUGAGAGAAAAAGAGCAGCCCUGAGCUCAACAGGUUGCAGGUCAAAGACUCUUCAGAAUCUGGUGAAAGCCAUGAACUUGCCCCAGGAAAAUCCAGCGCACACACACGCAUCCAGUUCUGCACACAGUUUCAGGGGGGUUUGUUGACCCUCUGCAGCCCAUCCACGGACUUCCUAAGGGGCCAUGGACUCAGGCUUAGAAAUCCUUCCUCAAGGAAGCAUACAAUCAUCCACGGAAAAACACCAGAUCGGCAAUUUCAAAGGAACGUGGAAAUGAAGGCAGUCCUACAAUAACAAGCCACGAAGUGCUGUGGGAUUGCAGUGGACGGAGCAGUAACUCUCCAUCAGCAGGAGUAGGGAGCUCCCCUUGGAGGAGCUGGAACGGGCUGGCCCUGCAGGGCUCACACUGAGGGGGAAAGGCCCGCAGCUGGGGUGCAGUGUGGCUGCACAUCUGAGGUCCCCCCCAAGCUAGAGAAGCAGCAGGUAACAGCCCCCAAAGACUCGGCCAGCCCAGAGAAUUCCAGAUUGUAGCUGCAAACAAAGACACCACUCUCUGGAUGUCACUGGUGGGAAGGUGGGAAAGCUUAUUAGAGCAUCUGUUAGCUUUAUCCAAAGUUCUCAAGCUUCAGUGCGGCAGAAGUGCAGGGGAGGGAAGACUGUUAAAAGUGUAGAAACAAGCCCUUCCCCCCCAGCCUAGGGCCCAGGACUCUGCAUUUUACAGCAGCCCAAGUGAUGCAGCUAAUCUGCAGAUCACACGUGUACGGCCGUCGAGUGGGGGAAAAGCUCCCAUAGCCGGAGGACUUCAUCUGUCUGGGUUCCCCUUCUCCCUGGGAGCAAAUCACGGAGCCCCUACCCUGACGUGGCACAGACAUAAUCUCACCACCUCUCCCUGUGGGAGAGCCCAUCACCGCCAGGCCUCUGGGACAUGGGGCUCUGCAUGGAAAGCUGAGGACAGGAGGCCCAGCUUGCCCUGCACUCAGGGAACGGGGGAGCCAGGAGCUCCUUCUCUGCCGGCCCCCCAGAGCAGCCCACACUGCAGGAACAGCCCACUCCUCAGAGCUGAGCAGCCCCCACAGCCUCUUCCCCGUCCAGCUCUGACAGACCAGCCCUGACACGUGGGUCAUGCCCACUCCAGUCCUACCCUCGUCUAAGCCUGC